rnacentral:rRNA from 1 species
UACGUAGGGUGCGAGCGUUAAUCGGAAUUACUGGGCGUAAAGCGAGCGCAGGCGGUUCUGUAAGUCAGAUGUGAAAUCCCCGGGCUCAACCUGGGAACUGCGUUUGAAACUACAGGGCUAGAGUAUGGGAGAGGGGGGUAGAAUUCCACGUGUAGCAGUGAAAUGCGUAGAGAUGUGGAGGAACACCGAUGGCGAAGGCAAUCCCCCGGACCUGUACUGACGCUCAUGCACGAAAGCGUGGGGAGCAAACAGG